GGGAAAGUGGCUGAGCGGUUCAAGGCGACAGACUGUAAAUCUGCUGAUUAAAUUCAUCGCAGGUUCGAAUCCUGCCUUUCCCA
rfam:Ostreococcus tauri mitochondrion, complete genome.